UUUCAGCUUCCUGAGAGGCUGCAUUUGCAGCUUCCCUGCUUUGCUCUUUUCUUUUGACCCCAGCCAUGUUAUGUGCACCCUGAGCACAGUUGGACUGAGAGGCUGAGUGGGCUGGUCAUACUGAGACAGAGGUAGAGAAGUUUCAGCCAGAGAAGAGUGAGGAGGACUUUGCCGUGCUUAAAUCUCUCAAAACGACCCCCAGACUGGCAGAAUCAUCACACCCUUCUCCACCCCAUUCACCUCCAGUCAUGGUAUUCCAGGACAAGCUCAUCAAAAGCUCCUCUUUACAUCCAGAGCUUCAGCCCCCUCUUCAUCCCAUCACCAACUGUACCACCAGCAGCGUCUAGACUCCAUGGGGGGUACCCUUUUCUACUGCGGCUUCAACACCUUCUGCACCUAUAUACCAUCAUUAUGGGAUCUAAAAGACUUAACAUUUCUCAUAGUCAUGCACACAUGUUAUCUUAUUGUUAUAUUGACAUCUAUUGCAUGUCUGUCUGUCCUGGAAGAGGGAUCCCCCUUUUUUUUCGGGAGUGAUUAUUUUUUUCAUUAAGAAUGAGUCUCACAAGAACACAUAGGUAGUAGCAGACAGAGAAGCGGUGAACAGCCAGCGUCCUCUCCGCACAUGCGCGGUAAAAUGCAAAUUUGUUUUUAAUUCCAAGUUAGCAUUCUGCCAUUUGCUAAUUAAUUCUAAACACAAAGUACAACUGACAUAACUUAUUAGUUUUGCAGGUAUUUGGUCAAAAACCAACAUAGUGAACAAAAAUUCCAAAAUGGUUGAGACAUUUCACUGAAAAACUAAAGCCAAAAAUGUCAACUUGCUUGUGAGACAAGCCAACAUUUUCUUACUCUGACCUGCUGUGCUGCUCUUUCAGGACCUCCUGCAUCAACCUCUGAUGCUUUAGGUAUCCCUGUACCUCAGCUGUUUAUGCUACGGGGUGCCGUUAUGGUGAUGUCAACGAAUGCACGUGGUGAGAUGACACAGCCGAUUAUCGUGACGUCUCUCAAGCUGCAUGGUCCCGAUGUUUACACAACAGCACGGACUGUCACGAAGCCUGUGAUUAGGCACCAAAGCCACGGAUGGUUAGGUUCAGGCAAAAGAGGCACAUGGUAAGGUGUUGAAAAAAAACCACACACACACAUAUCCACACGGGAACCAAACUCCACAGUCCCACACAAAAGUCAGUUUUUUGUGGGAUCCAUCCACCUCCCCACCUGCCUGCCCCAAAAAAGCACUUUCGCUCCUUAUAUUAUGUGGUUUUUCCACUUAAGUUUCAAAAUCUAAUGGGCAGAUUGCAUCGAGAGGCACUGAGCAUAUUCAUGCUCUCCAGAGGACAGACUUUUCAUUCAUUCUUUAUUUUGGACUGUCCAUUGGCCCUCCUCUAGCACAGCCAUCAGGCCCAAAUGUCAACCUUGAACAUUGUAUAUGUGUGCCCAAUAUCCUUUACUUACACAAUGCAUGGAUAUGACAUUAUGUAGCAUUUAUAAAUGUCAUAACAAUCAG